CCCCGUGUAGCUCAGUCUGGUAGUUUAGCGUCCGCCUGAAGAGCGGAAGGUCAGUGGUUCAAAUCCACUCGCGGGGA
rnacentral:tRNA from 1 species